UUUUGUGUUUAGCUUAAGUGGUUAAAGCGUCUGCCUCAGAUGCAGGAACUCACAGGUUUCGAUCACCGGCACAGUCAUACCAAAAA